UUUAAAUGUAAAAUAAAUUUACUAAAGUAGUAAUAGUUAUGUUCUUGAAAUUUAAAGAUUUUGGCGGUAUUUUAGUCUAUUUAGAGGAACCUGUUCUAUAAUUGAUAAUCCACGAUUAACUUUACUUAUUUUAUAAAUUUGUAUACCGUCGUUAUUAGAAAAUUUUAAUAGAAGAAAAAUUUUUAAUAUUUUAUAUUAAAAAAUAUAUCAGAUCAAGGUGCAGUUAAUAUUUAAGAAGAAAUGGGUUACAAUAAAUUUAUUUAUAUGGAUUAAAAUGUUAAUAGUUUUAUGAAGGUGGAUUUAAUAGUAAUUAAAUUAAUAUAAAUUUUGUGAUUUUAGCUCUAAAAUAUGU
rnacentral:rRNA from 2 species